UUUACAAAUAUGACUGCCCACUUUAAAUUGGCAGGGAGAGUUGUAUGGCAGUCCCUACUAAGGGUAUGUAGAAAGCACAUGUUAUUGAACUACAACUCCCAGCACCAACAAGCUACAACCUUGGCCCAGGGAGAAGAGAGAGAAGAACCUACUCCUGGAACUUUUAUGUCAGACCAAAGGAAGAAAGUUACUCACAGACGCACAGUUCCAGCAGCACAAACAAGGCAACUAGUGAGAUCAGCAGGACACCGCUGCCAUGAACACUCAGCACUGGGAUCCAGCCAUUGGCAGCAGGCCAGCAGCGAAGAACAUAAGUGAGAUGGUGCCAUGUGACAGUCUUCUCAUACCGGAGCUCCCGGCACUACACUGAAUAACUCCUUCAGGCACUGGGGAGUGGAGAAGGCAGGCAAAGGAAAGGUGACCCUCCAUGCAAAAAUGGCAAGCUGUGCCUUGCAGUGGAGCAGGAGGGGGCUUAUAUGCAGCUGUACUGUGAAAGAGCAGAAGACUGAGAAGCAGCAGAAGUGGUGAGCAUUGCUGGAGCAGAAGGGGAGCAGUACAUGUGUUUUAAAUAAAAUGAUGACUUCUGACCUUAUUUCCUUUGUAUAUGUCACAUUUAAGGGUUUUAACACAUUUCCCUGAUUUUCAGUUUUUACAUUGUUUUUCCCUGGUACCCUGAAAGACGUAAAUGGGGGUUCUACUUGUAGCAAUAAAGUCAUAAUCAACCUAUCACUUCCCCCACCACGAAGGAAACUCGCACCUAGACGGCGGGAAAUAAAGUGGGUGGGGGCAGACAUUUCAACCCCUCCCACCUCUACAAAAAGAAGCCUCAAGAGACCAGGCAGGAAAGCUGACCCACUUUUACUCUUUAUAACCUCACCUUACGUUUUGGGCUUUUUGCGGCCUGCUGCUGGGUUCGCCGCUUUACUCAAAGAGUGAGUGACUGCUGCUGUCUCCGUCCAAGACACGGGAGCGGGAAAUAGGCCUCUCUGGAAGGCCAUUAAUAGCAGCUAGUUGCAUGCAGAGCCACUUGUUUUUACCUUACACUCUAGCUGCGCUGCGACCUCCUCUCUUACUCAUCGAUUUCCUCCCCCCUUUGUUGUUGGGCAAUUGGUCCACGCCGUCUCUAGUGCUUACGACUGCGUGUGCCUACGCAACCGAGCACACAGGCCCAAGCGCUCGGAAUAUUCCACUUCUCAGUGGUGGGGGACGAGGGGAGUAGAGCUCAUCAGUUUGUUUGUGUCCCACAAUGCAAUGCGGUCAGAGGGGGGGAGUUGUGUGACGAGUGGAAGGGCGGUGAUUGUCUGGCUGCUAGUUGUUGCUUGGAUACAAUGUGGAGGCUGUACUGUGUAGUAGAAAAAGACUGACAGAACGAAUAGCUAGUUCUAAAAUCUUAAGAAGCUGAGUGCAGUAACAACAAGUGAAGCCCAAUAAGGGCUGUGUGUAGUAACAUGCCAGACGACACCAGUCUGAGUGGUUUUGUGGAAACAAUGGGCUGCUGGAAAAGGCAAUGAAAUCAGUCUGGGGGUUUCGUUUGAAAGCAAUGGGCUGGCUGCUGGGGGUGAGACCAGUCUGGGGGGUUUUCUGUUGGGAAAACAAUAGGCUGCUAGAGAGGAGGGAAAAUCUAUGGGUGGGACUAGGAUAGCAAGGGUACUUAGAGUUGUAGUAAACAGAGAGGCAUCAUUACUAAAAAUGUGAUUACUAACUUUGAUUUUCUAAGGAUCUACCUGAGGAAUGGAGCAGCAAGUAGGGUUGCCGGUAAAAAUGCUGAUUGAUCCCAAUGUUAUUAAUAGGGAAAAAAGAUAAAUAUAUAGGAAGGCCGGUAUUUUUAUCCAGAAAAGCUGGCAAUCCUAGCAGCAAGAUAUUCAACAUGAACAGAAUAUGAAUGGCAUUUUUCUUAAACAGCAAGCAAGAAAGCAGCUGAGAAGGAAAAUAGGGAUGUCCUGUUGCUUCAAUGAGGCCCCUAGAAUCCCAUUCUAUGUGCAGAAAGCAUGGAAGGACUUUGAACAAAAUGGAACCUUGACAUAAGGUGUAAGUAUAAUUGUACUGUGUAUCUUAAAGCAGACACUUGUGCUUCUCAUUUACAAAAGCAGAGUUGGUGUAUUAUAAAACGUAUUCCUAAUAACCUACAUUAUGUGUGCAGAUAGGAAAUGGUUACUAUAGCCCAGGUACUAGAGUUAAGGUGGCCAUACACGGGCCGAUAAAAGCUGCCGACAGACUGAGUCGGCAGCUUAUUGGCCCGUGUAUGGGGGCCCCCGACGGGCUUCCCCGAUCGAGAUCUGGCCGAAAGUCGGCCAG